CGAAGAAUAGUUUAGUUUAGAAUUCUAGCUUUGGGAGUUAGUGGUAGAAGUUAAAAUCUUCUUUCUUCGA
rnacentral:tRNA from 1 species